rnacentral:lncRNA from 1 species
AUCUCAUUCGUAUUCUAAGGAAUUCUAAAGGACUCUUUCAUAUUGCACCGGUGCUGGAAAAGAUUGGACUAUUCCCUACCGAGACAACAUAAACUCUUCAACGGAUCCUCCUUUUUUCAACUAGUAGAUCGCCUUUUCUUAAGGUUUCGUACUACUACUCAAGUGAUACGUGAAUUGCUCAGGAGAAGUUUUUCUAUAAAGACUAGCUUGCAACAUCUACUUCUGCUAACGAACGCUAGAAUUGGGAUAUCGAGAAAGAGG